GCAGCAGGUCGUUCCAUCGUUCCCUUCUGAGCGAAGUCGAAGAGGGGUAAGGAAAGUCCGGGCAACAAAGAGCACCAUGCUUCCUAACGGGAAGAUAUCCGCGAGGGUAUAGUAUUGUAACAGAAAAUAACCGCCCCUUCGGCUACGCUCAGGGGGCAAGGGUGAAAAGGUGAGGUAAGAGCUUACCGGUCUGGGUGGUGACAUCCGGAGCCGUACUCCUGAUGGGUUGAAAGACCAUGUAUACCGGCUUAUAAGGGCUGCUCGUCCGAUGCCGGGGGGUAGGUCGUAAGAUCAUUGCAGCAAUGCAGUGGGCAGAUAAAUGAUGGAAACUGUUUUAAAUUCUUUUACAGAAGACAAAUCAGCACAGAACCCGGCUUACAGACCAGCUGCAAAA
rnacentral:RNase_P_RNA from 1 species